AGAGUUUGAUCCUGGCUCAGGAUGAACGCUAGCUACAGGCUUAACACAUGCAAGUCGAGGGGCAGCAUGAUUGAAGCUUGCUUCAAUUGAUGGCGACCGGCGCACGGGUGAGUAACGCGUAUCCAACCUGCCCACCACUUGGGGAUAACCUUGCGAAAGUAAGACUAAUACCCAAUGACGUCUCUAGAAGACAUCUGAAAGAGAUUAAAGAUUUAUCGGUGAUGGAUGGGGAUGCGUCUGAUUAGCUUGUUGGCGGGGUAACGGCCGCAAGGCUACGAUCAGUAGGGGUUCUGAGAGGAAGGUCCCCCANAUUGGAACUGAGACACGGUCCAAACUCCUACGGGAGGCA
rnacentral:rRNA from 1 species